rnacentral:rRNA from 1 species
GGGUGCGAUCAUACCAGCGCUAAUGCAUCGGAUCCCAUCAGAACUCCGAAGAUAAGAGUACAUGUGCGGGAGUAGUACUAGGAUGGGUAACCUCCAGGGAAUUCCUUGUGUUGCACCCC